rnacentral:lncRNA from 1 species
UAUAAUUUUCUGUGUGAGGCUUUGAUGUGUUCUGUCUUUUAGCCUCACUAUUGUUGUCAUAUUGUCAUAAUACUGAAUUCUUAUUCUCCUAUUAACUGAUGCCCCUUAUUUGACAGGACUGUUUACUUUUGUUGGUCUUAAGUUUCUGGCAAGGUACACAGACAAUUUUGACUUGGACCUUUCAGUGGAAGGACACAGAGACAAUUCAGUGAGUCUCCUCUGUGCAGGCUACCAAUGGAAUAAACAAAGAAUGGCCCUGUACAAGUCAGGUCAGCUCAGCCCAGACAAAAUGAAGUUACUUAUCAUUUGAAAUCUCACAGGGAAAACAGCACUGUGUAGAAAGAACAACCAAUUAAAGUUCAGGGUUGGACUGACACAACAAAGAUAUCUCUGAUAUCCCCCAUUGGGUUUGGAGUUUGGAUGAUUUUUAGAGAGAAUAUCAAGAAGGUGAAAGAGAACAAACAGGAGUGAAGCACUGGGAAAUACUGGAUCAGAGGUAGAACUAAGGGGAAAAGAGCAUCACAGAAAUGACUGUGUGGAGUCCAUAAAGAUGCAGCUGAGUGCCAGGUGAGGUGAUGGAAAAGCAGAGUGGGAAUGGAGGAAGGAAUAGGAAGUUUUGGCACGUGUGAGAUUAGACUCCGUGGGAUGGGCAGGACAGGAAAUGAAUAGAAGAGGAAGAUAAUGUGGUAGCUUCUGUUGCUGUAUAGAGUUCAGCAUCAUUUCUGGCAGCAAGCUGGAAAGCAUUUAAAUGCUGAGCUUUCAACUAAAAAUUCUCAUUAAGUUGAGGCCCAGCAACCCUCUUUGAAAGGUUAAAGCAAAAACACCAAACAAGGCAGCAUUUUCCCCACUGUUUUUUAUGUAAGUACAGAUAAUUGAACUGAACUUGGAGGAAAUACUAACUUGAACCUUUUUAUUUUCUUUCCUUGAACAGGAAUUCAGCAUGAACUGUUUGCUAGUUUGAAGUUUUAUUAAUUUGGAGCAACUUUAGUCACUGCUGAACCCAAAUGAGAAUCAAAUCGAAUAGCUAAAACACUCGACUGUCUAAGCAGAUGUAAAAAUUCAGGAUCAGUUUGCGGCAAUACUAUUUUCUGCAUUUUUAGUUUUGAUCCCACUUUUCAUUUAUCCUGCCCAGAUUCUUUCCAGGCUCCUGCUUUGACUCAAGGGUGCUAUGGCUUGUAGGAGACCUUCUGGUGGGAUGAGCUGGAGAGAUUUCAUGUUGGGGUUUAAACUGUGUGAGUAGCAUUGCUCAGAGUCCUCUUUCUUUGAUAUUGCUCGAUUACUGCUUUCAUCCUCACAAUGAGCUUCAGGAAGGGUGCAGAGGAAUGACUUACCUGCCUGCCAGACACUAGAGAGAAUA